AGUAUUCUUCAUAGAAACUUGCCGCAUCUGACGCUCGCUCUCUUCAAACAUAACUGUGGCCUGAAUUUCAAGCAGACUGGGAAGACCGAAACCCAUCAUGCCGAAUACAAUAGGGUCAUAAGUUUUAGGAAGUGCAUCGACCAGGUGUUGGAUUUGAUCUUCCUCCGGUACCUCUGAUCCAAUCGAUGUUAGUUGAGCGAGAAGAUCGUCAUACUCCUUAAAAUAGCUCUCAAUAUCACCAGGUUUGUCGUUCACCCUCAGUAGUGACAGUCGUCCUGAGCAAUAAGUGUCCUUUAAGAUGUAUUCUUUUGCUUGGAUUGCCGACUUCGAACUUCCGUUUCAAUAAACUCCAUGCAUCCAAAGGUGAUCUGCAUAGUCAAAACUUAGCAACAAUAUCGUCACUAACAGAGCACAUAAGCAUGUGCAUGGCCUUCUCCUCAUCAGCAUCUUCAUCAACUGCUGUUGCAGCUACAAUGGUACUUUGCGGGACUGAGAUAGGCAAUACAUUUGCAUAAAUCCCAGUCGCUCCACGGCUGGUUUCUCCAGAAAGGGUUCCUGAAGUUGCAGAUGUAGCUUGGACUGCAGUAGGAAUAGAGCAAGUCGCAUGAUGACCACCUCCUAGACC
rnacentral:lncRNA from 1 species